rnacentral:rRNA from 1 species
UUUCCGGUUGAUCCUGCCGCCGGCCACCGCUAUCAAGUUCCGACUAAGCCAUGCGAGUCAAGGUAUCGUAAGAUGCCGGCAAACUGCUCAGUAACACGUGGAUAAUCUAACCUUGAGUAAGGGAUAACCUCGGGAAACUGAGGAUAAUACCUUAUAAUUGCUUAAAACUGGAAUGUUUAAGCAAUAAAAGUUCCGACGCUCAAGGAUGAGUCUGCGACCUAUCAGGUAGUAGGUGGUGUAAUGGACCACCUAGCCUCAGACGGGUACGGGCCCUGGGAGGGGUAGCCCGGAGAUGGACUCUGAGACAUCAGUCCAGGCCCUACGGGGCGCAGCAGGCGCGAACACUGUGCAAUGCGCGAAAGCGCGACACGGGGAGCUUGAGUGUCUUGGCAUAGCCAAGACUUUUCUCAUUCCUAAAAAGCAUGAGGAAUAAGUGCUGGGUAAGACGGGUGCCAGCCGCCGCGGUAACACCCGCAGCACAAGUGGUGGUCACUUUUAUUGAGCCUAAAGCGUUCGUAGCCGGUUUUGUAAAUCUUUAGAUAAAGCCUGAAGCUUAACUCCAGAAAGUCUGAAGAGACUGCAAGACUUGAGAUCGGGUGAGGUUAAACGUACUUUCAGGGUAGGGGUAAAAUCCUGUAAUCCCGGAAGGACGACCAGUGGCGAAAGCGUUUAACUAGAACGAAUCUGACGGUAAGGAACGAAGGCUAGGGUAGCAAACCGGAUUAGAUACCCGGGUAGUCCUAGCUGUAAACACUGCCCAUUUGAUGUUGCUUUUCCGUUGAGGGAAGGCAGUGUCGGAGCGAAGGUGUUAAAUGGGCCGCUUGGGAAGUAUGGUCGCAAGACUGAAACUUAAAGGAAUUGGCGGGGGAGCACCGCAACGGGAGGAAUGUGCGGUUUAAUUGGAUUCAACGCCGGA